GGCCCACGUACAUCUAGGGGAAAAAGUACACCGAAUGUCCCUCAACUUGUCAUCGAGUUACAAAAUCGUCCCCUAACCGCAAAACCGAUACAACGCAUCCUCCAACUUAUAAAACCACUACAAACUAGGUCCCUCGGUGGUUUUGACCCCGGUUUUAUAUGACGUGUCGGCUGAGUCAGCGUGGGACCCACGUGGGCCCCACAUGUCAGAAUGCAACAUCAGCAAGGUCUCUCUCCCCUGCCACGUCAGCAAGGUCUGUCUUCCCUCUCCCUUCCUCUCUCUAAUCUCUAUCUCACUCUUCUCUCUGGGCAGGCCGUCCGGUGGUGGGGAGGAGGUCCGACGGCCGGCCGGCAAUGCGGGAGAAGGGGCGACGCGGCGGCGGUGGGCCGGGAGCAGGCAGGAACCGCGGCGGUAGGCGCAGGGGCGACGGAGGAUGGAGGAGGACGGUCGGAGCGAAGCUCAACGAUGCGAGUCCUGUGACGAGCAGCCACUUGCGAUAGGGGCGACGACGCUCGGGCAUUCCCAGAUUGGCCCGGCACGACUGCCGCUCUGAUUGAGACCAGUGGAGGCGGCUCCGGUGUGAUUUGGUGGCGAGUAAGGACGGAGCGAGCUCUGCCUCUAUGUGGCGGGGCUAGGGUCUUCUAGCGACGAGGCGGCUUAGGGUGAGAAGCCCGUGGGCGGCUGAUGGGGAGAAGAGGUUGUUGCUGAGCUUGCUCGAGCGGGCGGCCGCGGGCGGCAUCAUGGUUGGGACUUGGGGGCGCGGCUAGGCGAGGGAGAAGGUUGUUGUCGAGCUUGUAUGCUGUUAGAGAAAGGAGAGAGAAAAUGAAAUCAUGUAGCUCGAAUUUGUAUGCUGUUAUUUGAUAGUAUCUGCAGGUUCUGAAGAGUUCCUGGAGCUUAUUAAGAGUGCGCUUCUGGCAGCACUAGAAGGUUACUGUUUUGAACGCUUGAAACUUACUGAAUUAUUGGUUGCUUGAACUGCGAAUUGUGAGCGAGUAUAAUUUAUGUUGCUCCUCAGUUGUCUUUUUCUCUAUGCAACAGCUCUGAUUCCAGGCUCCCUGUUUAGACAGUAUGAUGUACAAGGUCCAAUUCCAGUUGUAAAAGAUGUUUUUAUCCCUCCAGACACAGAAGAAGAUGGGCUGCCUGCUGCCCUUGAAGAUGCCAUGCCUCUAAUUUCAUUUUUGGCCCCUCUAUGUAAGAAGUGUUACAGUUUGUUUAGUCAAUUUGAACAUGUAAUAAUGACAAAGAUAAAUUUACAAGCAGAUCGACACAUGCAAAGAUCGAA